UACGGAGGAUGCGAGCGUUAUCCGGAUUUAUUGGGUUUAAAGGGUGCGUAGGCGGUCGGAUAAGUUAGAGGUGAAAUCCCGGGGCUCAACUUCGGAAUUGCCUCUGAUACUGUUCGGCUAGAGAGUAGUUGCGGUAGGCGGAAUGUAUGGUGUAGCGGUGAAAUGCUUAGAGAUCAUACAGAACACCGAUUGCGAAGGUAGCUUACCAAGCUACUUCUGACGUUGAGGCACGAAAGCGUGGGGAGCAAACAGG
rnacentral:rRNA from 1 species